UGGCAACCCUGUCGAACGGCGCCAUGUUUGUUUUUUUAUGAGCUUGAGGCGCAUGCGCUAUACAGGGUAGCAAUAUGGCGCAGUUUUGACGUGAGCGGUUGAAAUGAGAGGCACUUGGCCACAGAGACAUGAAACCAGCAUCCUGGAACUCGGAUUUGGGAAUGGUCUUUCCUCCCAAGACCCCCAAUCUGCGUUGACUGUCAUCUUAAAUGACUGAGAACAUUUGCGGAUCUACCUGAAAUCAUCGCCGCGUUGAUGCGGCUUAGUAACCUGACGUCGCCAUGUUUGAAGUCGCUGCGUCUGUUAUUCGAGCAGCUGCCUGAGGACGGACCGACCAUGGCGUCUCAGCAGUGGUUUGUUUGGCUGCUGGCAUCACUGAAAUAUGAGGAGAACAAAAUGGCGUCCUGAGCUGCCAGCAGAUGGAUUAUGGACAUACUAAAGAGACGCAGUGAAGCUGAGGAUGUCUACAAGCUGCCUGGACAUUCGCCCGACCCAUCAACGGUUGGACAGGUCAAACAACUGUUCGAUGGCGGGUCCAGAAAUCUCAAGG